rnacentral:rRNA from 1 species
AGCGCUUGUGACCAGACUUGCGCCCGGUGAAUCACCCAGCUCUCGCGGCUGGGGCACUUUGCCGGCUCAGGCCAGCAUCAGCUUGCCGUCGGGGACAAAAGCUUCGGGAACGUAGCUCUCUUCGGGGAGUGUUAUAGCCCGUUGCACAAUACCCUUCGGCGGGCUGAGGUACGCGCUCCGCAAGGAUGCUGGCAUAAUGGUCAUCAGCGACCCGUCUUGAAACACGGACCA